rnacentral:pre_miRNA from 1 species
UCUACGAACUCCAUUGUCUGUAUCUUCGCGGGAAUUUAUAAAUUUUAUUUUUCUCUGUCAACUAUGUAUACAUAGUUGACAGAGAAAAAUAAAAUUUAUAAAUUCCCGCGAAGAUACAGACAAUGGAGUUCGUA